AUGGAAACACGGAAUUGUCUCGGCAUCCGGCUCCCAGCCCUCAGAGAGUCUCCAGGCAUGCCCUUCCCUGGCUCAGCGCCCGGUGCCAACAGAACACCUUGCAGGAUCCUCAGCAACGCAGACAACUGCUUGGCCUCUGGUUUCCUACCUGCUACAUUUGAAGGAUUCCCUGUAGCCCUCUCCUUGAGACUUACCCAGGCCUUUCUCUGCAAUUCUUGCCUUCUGUACCCUGAGGGAGCUGGAUGCUCAAGAGCAGAGGAUCUAUCAACUGCAGACCAAGCAGAGGGAGAGGCAGGCAGAACUGGAGCAGAAAUGCAGCCGGAUCCAGCAGCUCAGCCAGGACCUAGAGGCCAGCCACCAGCUGCAAGAGGAAGCUCAGAAGCAGUGCAGUACUUCCCACUGGAAUACUUCCCAGUGGAGCCUGGAAAAGAACAGCACAGUGAACCAGCCCAAAGGUGA
rnacentral:lncRNA from 1 species